CUAGGGAUGUAGCUCAGUGGUAGAAUACUUGCCUAUAAUGAGCAAGGCCCUGGGUUCAAUUCCCAGUACUAAGA
rnacentral:tRNA from 1 species